AAACUAUUGUUCAUCAAUAUACUUGCAAUCUCCUCAAACUUGGACUUGAUUAAUUCCUCAUCAUAUUCUCCUCUAACAAACCUUAUGAUCUCUGUGUCAAUACAAAUCACAGUCGAUCCAUAUACCUCAACAGGAAGGAUCCCUCCUCCUCUGUUACUCUGUAUCAUUUCAAGGAAAUUGUUCAUAGCAGCCUGUGCACAAGUACCAAGAAUAAGUGGAUUUUUUCCUCUGUUAUUGACGAAAACCUCCCCAAUUCUUCUGCAAUCAUCUUCUCCCCCAGAGAAUCCCAAGAAAGGGAAGCUAAAACUUCGAUCGGAUUGAUUGGUUAAA
rnacentral:misc_RNA from 1 species